GGCAGCGACCUAAGGUAGGGUCAGCGAUUGGGGUGAAGUCGUAACAAGGUAGCCGUAGGAGAACCUGCGGCUGGAUCACCUCCUUUCUAUGGAGAAAU
rnacentral:rRNA from 1 species